UACAGAGGUCUCAAGCGUUGUUCGGAUUCAUUGGGCGUAAAGGGUGCGUAGGCGGCUUGGUAGGUCUGCUGUGAAAACUCGGGGCUCAACCCCGAGACGUCGGUGGAAACCACCUGGCUAGAGUCCGGAAGAGGAGAGUGGAAUUCCUGGUGUAGCGGUGAAAUGCGCAGAUAUCAGGAAGAAUAUCCGUGGCGAAGGCGGCUCUCUGGGACGGUACUGACGCUGAGACGCGAAAGCGUGGGGAGCGAACAGG
rnacentral:rRNA from 1 species